AGUGUUAGCAUUUAAUAAAUAGCAGACGCUGGCCUUGUAAGCCUGGGGUCCCGGGUUCAAUUCCCGGUGGCGCUC
rnacentral:tRNA from 1 species